rnacentral:lncRNA from 1 species
CGUUACCUAUAAAAUUUCGAGAAUAUCAACAAUGGCAUAAGCUAUACAUUUGAGAGAUUAAAACAACUAAUGAAUCGUCAAACUAAUGUGUUUAUACCCUAAUCCCGUCUAUUUCCUUCAUCGAAAUCGAAUCAAUAUAUCCAAGGUCAUCUAGGAUUGGUUAACUGAGUUUUAACUGUUCUCACAUGAAACAAGAUCAUCAGGCACAUGUAUAAAUCUUAUGCACUUUCAAGAUCGUCAAAUAUGCUGUCAGUGCUUCCUCGUUGAACAAUACUGGAAACAGGAUUCCCACCUUGGUCAUUUUUUAUGAUUGUUGCCUAUAAAAUUUCGAGAAUAUCAACAAUGGCAUAAGCUAUACAUUUGAGAGAUUAAAACAACUAAUGAAUCUUCAAACUAAUGUGUUUAUAUCCUAAUCCCGUCUAUUUCCUUCAUCGAAAUCGAAUCAAUAUAUCCAAGGUCAUCUAGGAUUAGUUAACUGAGCUUUAACUGUUCUCACAUGAAACAAGAUCAUUAGGCACAUGUAUAAAUCUUAUGCACUUUCAAGAUCGUCAAAUAUACUGUCGGUGCUUCCUCGUAGAACAAUAGUGGAAACAGGAUUCCCACCUUGGUCAUUUUUUAUGAUUGUUCCCUAUAAAAUUUCGAGAAUAUCAACAAUGGC